UACGAAGGGAGCUAGCGUUGUUCGGAAUCACUGGGCGUAAAGCGCACGUAGGCGGAUGUGUCAGUCAGGGGUGAAAUCCCGGAGCUCAACUUCGGAACUGCCUUUGAUACAGCACGUCUUGAGUCCGAUAGAGGUGGGUGGAAUUCCGAGUGUAGAGGUGAAAUUCGUAGAUAUUCGGAAGAACACCAGUGGCGAAGGCGGCUCACUGGUCCGGUACUGACGCUGAGGCGCGAAAGCUAGGGGAGCAAACGGG
rnacentral:rRNA from 1 species